rnacentral:RNase_P_RNA from 1 species
GUCCUGUGCUGGGUAGUUGCUCUGUAUUAAUUUACAGAGAGGAAAGUCCGAACACACAAUCUUGUUUUUACAGGAUAAGCGUAGCGGGUAACGCCCGUCGGGAGCAAUUCUAGGGUUGCGAACAGUGACGAACCGAUUUAGUUCGGGUGAAACGGCAAAAUACCUACGUGUGUGCAAGAUCGUGCUCCGACGCAAGUCGGAGAGAAUCGCUUGAGCCUCCAAGCAAUUGAAGGCCUAGAUAAAUAGCUAUCACCUCACUUCGUGAGGCACAGAAUUCGGCUUAUAGGCACAAGACAAGA